UCUUUUCAGUUGCUUUCAGACC
rnacentral:snRNA from 1 species